UCUUCAGUGAGGUACAUCCUUACCUGUUACUCCUCCGGGAGUUACAGAUCAUGAUGAAUGGAGACACAUGAGAUAUGAUUAGUAUCUCCCUCUCUCGGGGAACUGCAACUUUCCGUGAGAGCCAUUCUGAC
rnacentral:snoRNA from 1 species